rnacentral:misc_RNA from 1 species
AGUUGCUGUGGAAGCCCCAUAGGCAGGAGGCCCCCGGGCAGCACAUCCUGUCUGCUUGUGUCUGCUGCAGAGUUCUGUCCUUGCAUUGGUGCGCCUCAGGCCAGGCUGCACUGCUGGGACCUGGGCCAUGUCUCCCCACCCCACCGCCCUCCUGGGCCUAGUGCUCUGCCUGGCCCAGACCAUCCACACGCAGGAGGUGGACGCUGAGAUCCUGCUCUGCUUCCCUCCUAGAAGAUCUGCCCAGACCCUCCAUCUCGGCUGAGCCAGGCACCGUGAUCCCCCUGGGGAGCCAUGUGACUUUCGUGUGCCGGGGCCCGGUUGGGGUUCAAACAUUCCGCCUGGAGAGGGAGAGUAGAUCCACAUACAAUGAUACUGAAGAUGUGUCUCAAGCUAGUCCAUCUGAGUCAGAGGCCAGAUUCCGCAUUGACUCAGUAAGUGAAGGAAAUGCCGGGCCUUAUCGCUGCAUCUAUUAUAAGCCCCCUAAAUGGUCUGAGCAGAGUGACUACCUGGAGCUGCUGGUGAAAGAAACCUCUGGAGGCCCGGACUCCCCGGACACAGAGCCCGGCUCCUCAGCUGGACCCACGCAGAGGCCGUCGGACAACAGUCACAAUGAGCAUGCACCUGCUUCCCAAGGCCUGAAAGCUGAGCAU